UACAGAGGUCUCAAGCGUUGUUCGGAUUCAUUGGGCGUAAAGGGUGCGUAGGCGGCGCGGUAAGUCGGGUGUGAAAUCUUGGAGCUUAACUCCGAAACUGCAUUCGAUACUGCCGUGCUUGAGGACUGGAGAGGAGACUGGAAUUUACGGUGUAGCGGUGAAAUGCGUAGAUAUCGUAAGGAAGACCAGUGGCGAAGGCGGGUCUCUGGGCCGGAACUGACGCUAAGGAGCGAAAGCGUGGGGAGCGAACAGG
rnacentral:rRNA from 1 species